GACUGUAAAGAUGGAAAUUAUAAAAUAUUUUAUAAAAGGAAUUGAUAAGAAGUUGUUUGAAAAAAGAAAGAAGAGGAUUUAAAAAAAGAAAAAAGAAAAAAAAAGGGAGAGAAUGUGAUCAGGCAGGGGAAUAGAAAACACCAUAUACUAGAGAUUUAGGGUAUAUUUUAAUCUGUUAGAAGAUACUAUCUCAAAAUUUUAAAGAGAGAACAACUUAUAUAUAUAAGCCAAAAAUACGGGUAACUACUAUGAAGGGAUAGAAUAUGACUCUAAAAAUGAAAAAUAAAAAUUUUUUUUUAAAAAAAGGGAUUGAUAAGAUGUUGGUUGAAAAAGGGAAAAAGAAAAAUUCAAAAAAAAGAAAAAAGUUUAAAAAAAAUUAACUUUGAAAGACUAAAGAAUCAUGGUAAAAAAGCCAUGAAUUCUAUGUGCAGUAUUCCCCUAGCGCUGGAGUUCUGCCAUUCUCAUUGAUCCGUAAACUUGGUCUUGGCCGGCUGUUCUCGCUGAUCUUCUGGGGAGGGGCCUGUUGCCGUGGUUUCCAAAUGUCUCUGCCGGAGGCGGAAGUGCCCCGCCCUUGCCCCCUCCCGGCUAAGUAAUCUGCUCGGGUUUGCUCUCCGGGGCUUUUGUUCCCUGCGAGCUUUCCGUACAGCUUUGGAGGCGGAGAGUGAAAAUGGCGGCCUCCCAAUCUCUGCUCCGGAGGAGCCGAGAACUCGGGGCCCCGCUCCUCAGUGAGCCCCCAGAGAAAAGCCGUCAGUCACUCCCAGAUCCCCGCUCUCCGGCCGCACUCCGUGCUCGCCCGGGCUGUGACCGCGCGUUUCUAUCUCUGGCACCCGACCCCGUGUGGAGUCUCCAAACCCAGCAGAUCCCUGCGGUGCACUCCCGCGCGGCUCCUCCCGGGGGAGGAAGUCUUUGUCCAGACCGUCAGCGACCAGGACCCAGGCACGGCCACUCUCGAAGUUUCCUCGAGUACCUGAUGCAGACCGGAGCUUCUCAACACUGAGCUGGGAUGAAUUGCUGACCAGAGCCAAGGCUUCAAGAGGAGAGAGUUAACCAGAAAAGGUAUUGACUUUGACUGUGUUUGGUGGGAUGCAUUUGGAUUCAUUGCUCAUCACCUGAGUCUCUCCAAGACUGUCAGCACUGUGUUAGAUACUGGGACAGGGUGAAAUGUUAAACAAGGAACAUAGAGAAGACAGAAGAAUUGAGAUCAGGAGGGCUGGGAAUGAAAAGGAGAGAAGAGAGCGGGACUCGAGUUGAUUGACCUGUGUCAUCUUAGAGGCAUUUAUUUAAUCCUUGAAAUGCGCAUGUUCAGUGUGUUCCGCUAUGUUUGCGGUUUUACUGAUAGGAAUCUGAUGGUCAGCGAGCUUGGAUGACUUGCCCGAGGUGAUCAGGCUAACAUGUGACAUACCGAGGUAUACUUCCAAGACCGCUUGGCUACAAAUCCAUAGUUCUGUCCCCUUCUGCACUCUUCCUCCCAAGAUGUUCUGCACACUGAUCCCCUCACCAGAGCCUCCUACAGAGCCGACUGUCCAUUCCAUUUUGGUGACAGAUACCUCAAACCACCGAGGCAUCAGGAGUAAGUCUUUCAGUCUACUCAGUAUUGGAGGCAGAGACUUGAGCAGGUAAAGGAAAUGGACUGUAUCAUUGGGAGAACAAGUGUAGAGUUCCCUGUCUCAUGUUUUGGUGGUUACCACCCAGCCUCAGAAAUGCGGCUUCACUUCAAAUCCUACGUUUUGGUUUUUCUUUUUUUCUUCGUGAUUUGGUAAUGCAAGUACUAAAACUAUAUAUAGCAGCCUUUAAUACAAUGCGUGCCACCAUUAGUUUUUCCAUGCCUCCAAGUCACUGGGUGUGGCUUGGUUUACUUAGGUCCCGAUGCCUGAAACUACUUAGAAGAGUCAGGUCACAGGAGUGAAUUUAACCUCAAACCAGAUCAUUGGGUCUGUAGGACGUAACCUCUUUUUACACUAAUGAUUCAUGUAUUGAGUCAAAGUUGGGGUUUGGGGCGUUCUAGAGCCAAGAAGUUUAGUUACUGCAUCUUCUCAUCUCUUGGAGAUAGUUCUUUUUUGAUCAAGCUGGGUUUUACAAACUGCAUGUAGAAAAUUGAACACUUGACAUUCCUUCCUUCCUUCCUUAAUUUAUUUGAAUGUGUAUUAUGCUCUUACCGUUAUGGUGAGGAACAAGGAAAACUCCCUGCUCUCAAGAUCCUCAGGGUCUGUGGACCCCCAAACAACUUGGCAUAUCCCAACAUUAUACCUACUGCAAUGAGAGUUUUAUAGCACCCAGCGUCCAGAUUUGCCAAAGGAGGAAAACUUCAGUUUUGAAUUUUCAGAGCCUGGAUACAGACUUUGCGAUAUAAGAGGGGUUUACUUUGGGAUCUAGUUCUUUUCUGUUGAGCCAAGAAGGCUUCAGGGGACCACCAUACCCCAGCUAGAAACAGGUAAGCGGUCGGGACAGGUGUGUGUGUGUGUGUGUGUGUGUGUGUGUGUGUGUGAAUCAGGAAGGGGGUGAUCAAUCUUCUUGAGCUGAAGCCCACUGACGAAGACAAUAUGAUAAGUCUCCCUGGACCCAUCCUCCUGUUGUCAAAUGGCUCUUCCCUCAGAGAUGUUGUGAACUAGAAAGAACAUGGGCUGCCGGAAACAUUACCUUUAAGACAGUGGUGACUGUGGUUGCCUCCGCAGGCCUGGCAGCACCCCUAGACCUCAUCAGCUGCCUGCACAAGAAAAGAACCAUGAUGUUAAAAAACGAAGAAUUUUCCAAUAAAGUGGUUGAAGGGAAAAAAAAGAAGUCAGCUGGACUUCAGAAAGGGCAGAGGCCAAUUUCUUCUAGUCUGGAGCACCAACUACAGCAGAAUUUCCCAAUUUCUCUUGUCUUCUCUUCUUGUUUGUAAGGCCACCUUGCGGCUGUCUGGCCUGUGGUGUGUACCAGCUGUCUGAUGCUGUGAUCUCAGAGCUGGACAGGGACCAUCUCUCUCCCAGCCCCUGUCCUCUCCCUGCCAGAGCCUGAUAGAGUCUCAGACAGUUCUGGAGAAGGGCCGUUCACCAGUAACUAAGAGAACGGUGGAUGGUGAACAGAGGAGACCAUUCUGCACCAUGAUGGCGAUGAGGAGGAUUAAUUUCUUCUCAACAGUAACUGUUCUCCCCACCAGUUCCCAACUCAGCCAGUACCCACACCUGGCAAGAGCAGAGGGAAGGGAACCCUCUCCACUGGGUUUCGAUGUGAGUGUUCUGUACAUGUGUGUAUUGGAGGUGGAAAGAGCCACCAUACUACUAUGCCGCUAGAGUCCCGAAGAAAACAUGGAAACAAGAAUCACUAGGAGACCCGGUCUUUGGGUUGCCAGGUACCUGCUUUCAAGCUUGGCUGGCAGUUGAGAGAAAUUUCCAGACCCACACAAACUUUCCCAUGUCCUAAAAUGGGUAUGUUAUUUGCUUUCACUUAACCACAACCUUCACACUGCCCCGGGCCUUGGUCUCUGACUUGGAAUGACAGAUACGAUGAUGGAUAUGAAAAUAAAGAUGAAUCAUCCUCAAGUUUUGCUCUUUUGAUUGAUAAAAUACCUGGUGUGCACGCAGGCUCUGAUCUGUGACUUUUGUUUUCAGCCAACUCAUCAGAGUGCUCUGAGGUCGAGCUCACAUUCCAGAAAUUAACUUAUCUAUCUGCAAGAAAGGACACGGUACUGUGAGAGUCUAUAAGGGGUGUGCUUAGACUUCAAUGUUCCAUGCGACAGGAAGGAAUGAGAAAGGCGGUUGACUGGAGGACAAUGUGUGGCAGAAAACAUUACUGCUAUCACUGUCUUUUACACAACUCUCUGGGCUACAUGGAUGCAUUGCCAUCCUGUGCCCCAGGCCUGACCCCUUUCAUGAAAUUCCGGUUUUUCAGAAUGACCUGAAGUCUUUCUUAAAAUGCAGAUUUCUGGACUCUUCCUAUCAAGAUCCAUUAGAUACAUGCAUCAGGGAAGGCAGAUUGUGCACCAGCUGUCCCACAGUUUCAAUGGCUGAACAAAAUCAUGAUUCAUUUUUCAAGCCACAAUCCAGUAUGGGUCGGUGGGGGUGGGGUUCUUUAUUUCUCAUGGUUAUUCCGGGACCCCAGACUCCCCCAUCUGGGGCUCUACCAUUCCUUGUAGCCUCAGAGUCCACAAAUAAGAGAAUGAAGUGGGGGUGUGGAGAAGACACACCUGCUCUGAAUUGUUGCAGCAAAGAGUUGACCAUGUUACUUCCAUUCACCUCCCAUUCGUGAGAACUAGUUCCAUGGUUCCAUGCCGUGGCCCCGGGGAAAUAGAGUCUAAUGCCCAGAAGGGAAAGGAAACUUAGCGAGUCUCAGCCAUUAUCUGGGAUGGGGACAUACAUAUUAUUUAUUACAAGCAUCCUUGGCAACUCUAACAAAGAUGACGUGGGGCCCAUUUUCUUGAGAAACACCUAUCCACAGACACCUGUGUGGGUAAUAGCAAGUGGGUGCUAAUCCACUUUCAGAUCGUGGAGACUGGCUCACAGUGGCAGAAAUGUAAAUGCACAAUGCAAACGUCCAGAGUGAUCUAGUGUUUUCAGGACGGUGGUUCUUGUUGGCACCAUAACUCCCCAGCUGCAGCUCGAGCCCACAAUUCCACAUCUCAGGGACUGAAAGACUCCAUACAUCUCUCUGGGACUUGCGUUCUUCAUCUAUAAAGUGGGAAUAUGAACACAUUACAUCAAAUAAGUCAGGUGAAGUGCCUAUUAUGUAACCUGCCAUGCAGUAGGUGUAUAAUAAAUGUUACAAGUAUUUAGCAGAGGGUGGUCGAAGGGUUACUAACUUUCAGUUAUAACAUGAAUACCUUAUGGGGUUGUAAUGGACCACAUGGACGCUAUUGUUAACAUACUGUAUUGUAUGUUUCAAAGUUGCUAAGAGAGUAGAUAUUACAAGUUCUCAUCCCAGGAAAAAGAAAGUGUAACUAUGUGAGGUGAUGCAUGUUGAGUAGACUCACUGUGGCAAUUAUUUUGUGAUACACACACAUAUCAGAUCCUUAUGCUUACACCUUAAACCACUACAAGAUUAUAUGUCAGUUGUCGCUCAGUAAAACGGGAAAAAUUAUAGUUAAACUUAGAAUUUUUACAAACUUGUAUCCACCACUGUGAGCUUGAUAGUUUCCCAAUACUUAAAGAUUUUGAUGAUGAGAUUGGUGGUGAGAUUAGUGAAUCUAGUUUUUGACACUAUGUAAUAAAAUCUGUCAACAUUUGGAAUGUCUGCAUAACUCCAUAAAACAAUACUUUCCAAAUGACCAAUGUUUAAAGGUUUUUUUUUUUAAUUUGGUGAAUGCUUUGAUCACAAUUCAACAUAUUUAUGAAAGAAGGUUUAGUCUACUUUAAACUAAUGAGAAGAUUAUACUUAUUUUACUAGAAAGUGCCAGAAUGAAAAAUAAACAAAUAAUCAAGGUUCUAGACCCAAAUAAACAAAUAUGGGAAGGAUUAAUUUGGCUCAUAGGAGCCAGAUCAGAUCGUCUUGGCUGUUUUGUUAUGUUGCUAAAUUGGUUCAAUGCAGCAUGUGAGCAAUUUUUGGAAGCAAUGAUUACAUGUUACUUUUCCAAAAUACAAAAAAAAAAAAAAAGUUUCAUGGAUAUAAUUCUGGCCAUCUGUUCACAAAGGAAACGGGAUUAUUUUAAGUGAAUUUUUAAUUUUAACAUAAUAUUUCUUAAAAGGGACUGUUAAUUGGGCAGAUAUCCAAAGAAUGUCUGAAUUUCUUGUGCUUUUUUAAAAUUAACAAUAGUUUUUGUAGUUUCUGACUUUCUUUUACUUUUUAAUGUUUUGUAGCUGUCAACACUCUGAGCUUUGGAGCCAUGCAGAUCCAGGUUCAAACUCUCACGCUACAGCUUACUAGCCCUGGGGAAUAGGAGAAAGUCUACUUCACUUUUCUUGACCUUCAUUUUCUUAUUUUUACAGUGGAAAUUGAUAACAGUAUCUCCAUGAGGUUAUUUUGAGGAUUAAAUGAAGUAACAUUUUAUGAAGCACUUAGCAUUGUGCCUGACCCCUAGGAAAUACUCAGUAAAUGUUUGCUGUUACUUUAUACACCACCAUCAACUUUGCUGACAGAUAACCAACCAUCAUCCAUCCUGAUUGCUAUCUGAAGGAAGAUCUCUUAGAUCAUGCAGGCAAUAUUAGUAGCAAAAUAGCAUAAAAAGAGAAAAGGGGUUUCAGAAUAACAAACAAAAUACUGCAUAAGCUGUGUUUGACAUAGGAGAACUUAUAUUCCUAUGAGAGGGACUAAGCAAUCUCAAAAACCAAGACAGUAAAUAUUCAAUGUACAUUAUAAUUAGAACUCAUCUCUUAUUUCAGAUGUAAAAUACUCCAUAUCUAUUAAUUUAUCAAUGAUUAAUUUGCAUUAUGUAAUCUACAGAAGAAAAUUUCCAUACUUCAGAUGUAUUUUCUAAAUCAUUUUCUCCCAGUUCUAUUUAGGUAUAAUUGACAGACAAAAUUAUAUGAAUUUUUUUUUAAAUACUUAAAAAAAAAAAGGAUUUAGCAGAGGGCUGGGCUUCUAAGGUUCUAGGAGAACAAUGAAAUCCAUAGUCCAGGAAUGGAGUAGAUCCUUCUAAUUCAAAGUGUUAUCCACAGACCAACAAUCUUUUCAUCACCUGGAGUUACUAGAAAUGCAGAAUCUCAGGCCCCACCUAUGAUCUACUGACUCAGAAUCUACAAUUUCACAAGACCUUCAGGCGAUUCCACCAUUUGACCAGAUGUGCACACAAAGUGAGAUCAACUCUGGCCUCUUUAGCCUGAGUCCCUGCAUUUGAGGAAGACACAGUAAGAGUGGAGUGUUAGGGGUGGGGUCAGCACAGAUGGCCUGGAAGAGAGCAGAUGGUGACAAUCAUGCUGGAAAGUUGUGAUUUGCAUAACCUCACAGACCUAUUGGGCUGUCCUUGACCUUCCAAUUGAGAGCACCAUUUUGGAGCUAUCGUUCCCUAUGUCUCUCACCCAGGUGUUUGGUCUAUAUCUUGAUGAGACCCUUCUUUUAUUAUUUCUUAGAAAAGGUAUCUCUUCUGGUUUUGAGGUUGAGGGAUGAUCAAGGACAGACAUGGGCCCCUAGAAAAGUUGGACAUGGACUGAGUGUUGAAACUUUUGCAUCCUAACUGGUGAUGCCAGGGCUCUAGAGAAGAUUGUGGCUCUAAAUAGUUAUUAUGGGGUGGUACAGAUAAGUUACACCGAUAAAAGAUUGAAAACAGAUUGGACAA